rnacentral:rRNA from 1 species
GACGAACGCUGGCGGCGUGCUUAACACAUGCAAGUCGAACGGAAAGGCCCUGCUUUGGUGGGGUGCUCGAGUGGCGAACGGGUGAGUAACACGUGAGUAACCCGCCCUUGACUUUGGGAUAACUUCAGGAAACUGGGGCUAAUACCGGAUAGGAGCUCCUGCUGCAUGGUGGGGGUUGGAAAGUUUCGUCGGUUGGGGAUGGACUCGCGGCUUAUCAGCUUGUUGGUGGGGUAGUGGCUUACCAAGGCUUUGACGGGUAGCCGGCCUGAGAGGGUGACCGGCCACAUUGGGACUGAGAUACGGCACAGACUCCUCCGGGAGGCAGCAGUGGGGAAUAUUGCACAAUGGGCGGAAGCCUGAUGCAGCAACGCAGCGUGCGGGAUGACGGCAUUCGGGUUGUAAACCGCUUUCGCCUGUGACGAAGCGUGAGUGACGGUAAUGGGUAAAGAAGCACCGGCUAACUACGUG